rnacentral:rRNA from 1 species
UGGGGAAUUUUGGACAAUGGGCGCAAGCCUGAUCCAGCAAUGCCGCGUGAGUGAAGAAGGCCUUCGGGUUGUAAAGCUCUUUUGUCAGGGAAGAAACGGUGAGGGCUAAUAUCCUUUGCUAAUGACGGUACCUGAAGAAUAAGCACCGGCUAACUACGUGCCAGCAGCCGCGGUAAUACGUAGGGUGCAAGCGUUAAUCGGAAUUACUGGGCGUAAAGCGUGCGCAGGCGGUUAUGUAAGUCAGAUGUGAAAUCCCCGGGCUCAACCUGGGAAUGGCAUUUGAGACUGCAUGGCUAGAGUGUGUCAGAGGGGGGUAGAAUUCCACGUGUAGCAGUGAAAUGCGUAGAGAUGUGGAGGAAUACCGAUGGCGAAGGCAGCCCCCUGGGAUAACACUGACGCUCAUGCACGAAAGCGUGGGGAGCAAACAGGAUUAGAUACCCGUGUAGUCCCUGAGCGGGCUGGCAAGGCGCAU